UAGCUCAGCUGGUAGAGCGCGACCUUGCCAAGGUCGAGGUCACGAGUUCGAACCUCGU
rfam:Alishewanella agri BL06 contig025, whole genome shotgun sequence.